GAUAUCUGGUAAGAUCUAGGCUCCUUAGCAAGGGCUAUGGUGCCAUUGUCUUUGUAGUAUAGUGUCAUGGCAUCUGAUAGUAUGACAACUAAUUCUGCAACUAACAUUACAACUUGAAUGCAUCCUACACAUCUAUAGUGUACUCAACUUUCAUUGAUCGAUUAUUUGGAAUCCUUCCAAGAUAUCGACAUAGCAACACAUCCAUGAUGUAGAUAUUCUACCAUUAACAUCAGAUUUAAAAUCUGAAUUGGUGUAUCCUCCCACUCCUAGCUUUGAU
rnacentral:lncRNA from 1 species